CUUGGUGCUUGCACUGGGUGGAUGAGUGGCGAACGGGUGAGUAAUACGUGAGUAACCUGCCCUUGACUCUGGGAUAAGCCUGGGAAACUGGGUCUAAUACUGGAUACGACAUGUCACCGCAUGGUGGUGUGUGGAAAGGGUUUUACUGGUUUUGGAUGGGCUCACGGCCUAUCAGCUUGUUGGUGGGGUAAUGGCUCACCAAGGCGACGACGGGUAGCCGGCCUGAGAGGGUGACCGGCCACACUGGGACUGAGACACGGCCCAGACUCCUACGGGAGGCAGCAGUGGGGAAUAUUGCACAAUGGGCGGAAGCCUGAUGCAGCGACGCCGCGUGAGGGAUGACGGCCUUCGGGUUGUAAACCUCUUUCAGCACGGAAGAAGCGAAAGUGACGGUACGUGCAGAAGAAGCGCCGGCUAACUACGUGCCAGCAGCCGCGGUAAUACGUAGGGCGCAAGCGUUGUCCGGAAUUAUUGGGCGUAAAGAGCUCGUAGGCGGUUUGUCGCGUCUGCUGUGAAAGCCCGGGGCUUAACCCCGGGUGUGCAGUGGGUACGGGCAGACUUGAGUGCAGUAGGGGAGACUGGAAUUCCUGGUGUAGCGGUGAAAUGCGCAGAUAUCAGGAGGAAC
rnacentral:rRNA from 1 species